rnacentral:pre_miRNA from 1 species
UCUUAUAGAUGAGCAAAAAAAGUAGUUUUUUGAGAUGAAAUUCACUCUUGGUGAAGAUGCUGUGAC